GACGAACGCUGGCGGCGUGCUUAACACAUGCAAGUCGAACGGAAAGGCCCUGCUUUUGUGUGGUGCCCGAGUGGCGAACGGGUGAGUAACACGUGAGUAACCUGCCCUUGACUUUGGGAUAACUUCAGGAAACUGGGGCUAAUACCGGAUAGGAGCUCCUGCUGCAUGGGGGGGGUUGGAAAGUUUCGGCGGUUGGGGAUGGACUCGCGGCUUAUCAGCUUGUUGGUGGGGUAGUGGCUUACCAAGGCUUUGACUGGUAGCCGGCCUGAGAGGGUGACCGGCCACAUUGGGACUGCGAUACGGCCCAGACUCCUACGGGAGGCAGCAGUGGGGAAUAUUGCCCAAUGGGCGGACGCCUGAUGCAGCAACCCCGCGUGCGGGAUGACGGCCUUCGGGUUGUAAACCGCUUUCGCCUGUGACGAAGCGUGAGUGACGGUAAUGGGUAAAGAAGCACCGGCUAACUACGUG
rnacentral:rRNA from 1 species